AUUAAAUUAUCAUAUUCUAAUGUAUUAAAUUUAGAAUUUAAUUAAGUAAAAAAUUACAUUUAAUA
rnacentral:tRNA from 1 species